rnacentral:misc_RNA from 1 species
AAAAACUUUUAGCAAGGAAAGCAUAAAUAAACAGGCAAAAUAUGAAGAGGAACAGUUAAAGAAAGAACUAGAGUAUUCAAUAGAAUCAAAGAAAAAUCCAUCAGCAUUUAAAUAAUUUCCCAACAUCACACCACCAAAACCAAUGAUGGAAACAUCAACCACAAUGCUAUCUAUGAAAGAAAAUGCACAUUGGGCCAAAUAUCA